rnacentral:rRNA from 1 species
CACGUAGGGGCCAAGCGUUGUCCGGAUUUAUUGGGCGUAAAGAGCUCGUAGGCGGUUCGACAAGUCGGGUGUGAAAACUCCGGGCUCAACCCGGAGACGCCACCCGAUACUGUCGUGACUGGAGUCCGGUAGGGGAGUGGGGAAUUCCUGGUGUAGCGGUGAAAUGCGCAGAUAUCAGGAGGAACACCGGUGGCGAAGGCGGUUCUCUGGGCCUUACCUGACGCUGAGGAGCGAAAGCAUGGGGAGCAAACAGG